UGUUUUCUAAUAUCCAGGGAAGGAGAGUAUGAUAUUAUUCCCAAUAUCACAGGGGGUGUACACCUUUUUGUGACAUUGAGUCUAAUAUCCAGGGAAACAGAGGAUGAUAUUACUCCCAAUGUCGCAGAGGGUAGACACCCCCCUGGGAUAUUGUUCCUAAUAUCCCAAUGGAGAGAGGAUGAUAUUACUCCCAAUAUCAAAGGAAAUGUACACCACCCCUGCGAUAUUGUUCCUAAUAUCCAGAGAAGAAAAGAAUGAUAUUACUCCCAACAGCGUAGGAAAUGUAUACCCGUGCUGUGAUAUUUUUCCCAAUAUCUGGGGUGGGGGGGAAGAGGAUCAUAUUACUUCCAAUAUCGCAGGGUGUGUACACCCCCUCUGUGAUCUUGUUGCUAACAUCCAGGUUUAGGGAGGACGACAUUACUCCCAAUAUCGCAGGGGGAGUACACCCCCCGUGACCUAGUUAGUAAUUUCCUGGGUGGAGAGGAUGAUAUUACUCCCAAUAUCGCAGGGGGUGUACACAGCCCUGUGAUAUUGCUCCUAAUAUCCAGAGCCAAAGAGGAUGAUAUGACUCUUAGUAUCGCAGAGGGUGUACACCCCUCCUGUAAUAUUGUUCUUAAUACCCUGGGAGGGAGAGGAUAAGAUUACAUUGAAUAUCGCAGGGAAUGUACACCCUCCCCCUCUGAGACCCUUCCUAAUAUCCAGGGGAAGAGAGGAUAAUUUUGCUCCCAAUAGCCCAGAGGCAGUACACCUCCCCUGUGAUAUUGUUCCUAAUAUCCAACGGGGGAGAGGAUGAUACUUCUCCCAAUAUCGCAGGGGUGUUCACAUCCCCAGUUACAUUUUUCCUAAUAUCUAGGGGAGAGACAAUUAUAUGACAGCAAAUGUCUCAGGGUCUGUACAUCCCUUCCUGAUAUUGUUCCUCAUAUCCAGGGGGGAAGAGGAUGAUGUCAAAUAUCAAAGGGGGUGUACACCCCCCACCACGAUAUUGUUCUUAAUAUUCAUGAGGGGAACGAUGAUGUUACUCUGAAUGUCGCAGGGGUUUUUCACACCCCCUGUGAUAUUGUUGCUGAUAUCCACAGUGGGAGAAAAUAAUAUUACUUCCAAUAUUGCAGGUGGUGUAUACCCCACCUGAAAUAUUGCACUGAAAAUCCAAAGAGGGAGAGGAUAACAUUCCCUCAAAUUUGGCAGGUGGUUUGACGCCCCUUGUGGAAUUGUUUUUAAUAUCCAGCGGGGAAGACAGUAAUACCAUUUUGGAUAGUCCGAUUUAUCCGCCCCACCUUUCCGGAACUCUGAGACCAGGAGGCGGCAUGCGGUUUCCAUGUGAUCCCCGAUACCUUUGCCAUCUUCUGUACUGUCAGCCACAAACGCAGGCCCGUUAUCUGAGCUGAUCCGUAAGGGCAGUCCCAAUCUAGGAAUCAGAUCUCGAAGAAGCAGACGGGUUACUUCAGGAGCUUUCUCAGUUCGUGUUGGAUAAGCCUCCACCCACCCAGAGUAGGUACGCCCAAGAACUAGUAAAUACUUGUUACCUCCACACUUUGGCAUCUCUGUGAAGUCUACCUGGAGAUCUUCAAAGGGGGCUGCUCCAUAAGCUUGUAUGCCGGGCGGAACGGCUGGCACUUGCCUCGCAUUACGCUGUCGGCAGAUAACACACCGCUGCGUCACCGUUUUGGCAAGUGCUGACAAAUGCGAGACGUAGAAAUACCGGCCUAACAACUUUUCCAGUUGACUCCUGACCUACAUGGCAUUCGAAACAUGAGUAUACAGAAGUCUUUGGUAAUUCAGGAUCACUGAUGAGUAAAACAAGAUAGGAGUUGAAGCUUAUCUUUGUUUAAAAAAUCCUUUGGUCUUGGGAUAACAAGAUAAUGUAAAUAUGGCUUAAAGGAGAAUCAUUUCAAAAACAAAGCAAAACAAGGAAAUGAAAAAUAAAAUUUAUGGCCUGGCACAGCGGCUCACGCCUGUAGUCCCAGCACUUUGGGAGGCCAAGGCGGGCAGAUCACGAGGUUAGGAGAUCGAGACCAGCCUGACCAACAUGGUGAAACCCCGUCUCUACUAAAAAUACAAAAAUUAGCCAGGUGUGGUGGCAAGGGCCUAUAAUCCCAGCUACUUGGGAGCCUGAGGCAGGAGAAUUGCUUGAACCCGGGAGGCAGAGGUUGCAGUGAGCUGGGAUCGCCCCACUGCACACUCCAGCCUGGGCAGCGGAGUGAGACUCCGCCUG
rnacentral:lncRNA from 10 species